UCUCACUUCUGAGCCCUGGGAAUGUCGAUCUGGGGGAGACGCAAGCUCUCCCAAGAAGGGAAAAAUCCAUGACCUCGUUCUGUAGCUAUAUGAAGGUCUGGGAAAACAGCAGACAGGAGGAUGGUGCCAGCAAUGGGAGAACGGAGUAGAUGAACUUUUGAACAGGGAAGAUGAACUCAGCAGUGAGAAGCUAAAACAAGCAGGCAAGAAGCACAUCUGUUCUUCCAUACUUCCUUAUUUCUGGGCCACUGGUGGAAGGCAUCCCCCACACACCAUGUUUAGGGAUCCAGAAUCCAGAACAAUGACAGUCACUGAAUAAUAACUCGGGCCAUGGAUCUAGGAAUCAUCAUUCUUCUUUCUCUACUCUAUAAAGAGGCCCUGUUCCAACAGUUCAGUUAUCGACGCUCAGUGUGACAUCUCAUGAGACCAUGCUGACAGACUCCAUACAGGGAGAUGCCUCUCUGUCACUUCUUCAGGACAACAUAUCCAGAUUUUGGAGUACAGAGACUGAACCUGGAGGUCACCACUUGGCAGGCAACUAAAUCCCUGGGAUUCUUCUAUUUCUGCCUUCCAAUU